AUGGACGUUCAUCUGCACAUCCUCAGUGUCUCAGGAGUCACAAUAAACACACUAAAUAAAGUCAUGAUUGUGUAACUCUAGUGUAUAUGAGUGUGUUGUCAGCACAAGCUGUUGUAAAUCCUGCCCACUUCUUUGCAUUGUCAGCACAUGCUUCAGUGCUCUGAGAGUGUUUAUAGUGCUGUGAGUUUAACACUUCAUGACUGAGAGCAGAACACACACACUCUUCAUCAUCACACAAGACUAAACUACAACUAUGAACAACAUCGGCAUCUUCAUCUGGACUCUGUCUGUGUGUAUUCAAGGUUUCAGUGGACAGGUGACUGUGACUCAGACUCCUUCUGUAAAAACGGUUACAAUUGGUGAAUCAGUCUCGAUAAACUGCAAAACAAACACGGUAGUGAGCAAUGGCUGUCCAGGUUCAUAUACUUGUAUGCACUGGUACUCAAAGAAACCUGGAGAAGAUCCUAAACUCCUCAUAUAUGAUGCAUCAACCCUUAAUACUGGAACUCCAUCUAGAUUCAGUGGCAGUGGAUCCAGAACUGAUUUUACUCUGAGCAUCAGUGGAGUCCAGACUGAAGAUACAGGAGAUUAUUACUGUCUGAGUUAUCACUGGAUCUACAGUCAGAAUGUGUUCACACAGUGAUAAAGAGUCGUACAAAAACCUCUGUCAGUCAGACGUCACAGUGACUGCACUGAUACAGCUGAGAGAAACUGCAGCUGCUGAUGGAGGAUCACACACUACACAAUUGUAAGA